CUUCACACAAUUUCCCCAGAAAUUGUAGCUUUUCUAGUUAUUAUUAUUAUUAUUAUUAUUAUUAUAGCAAAAUUUGCCACUCCUCCCACAGUUUUUACACUACAUAGACAAAAAUUUACCAAAACGUGCAGAUUGUUCCCGAUCGGAUUGCUAUUACUUUGUGGAACGUUUCGCCGAAUGGUUCACGGAAUAUCGUCGUUCUUGUGGCGAAAUUUGUCCCAUAGGAAUGAAUGGCAAAGCUAGAGUGGGAGCUGGCAAAAGCUGAAAAAUCAGGACAUGAUUUCUAA